UGCCUUGCUUUUCGCUGACUGUGCCUG
rnacentral:piRNA from 1 species